AUUCUGCCCAUGCGGGGAAGGAUGAGAAGCUUCGACCAAGGUUCGACUCGAGCGCCAGCGAGAGAGCGUUGCCGUAGGCAACGACCCGAAGGGCGAAGCGCGCAGCGCUGAGUAAUCCUUCCCCCACCACCA
rnacentral:sRNA from 2 species